CAAACAGUAAUAUUUCAAUUUGCUAUGACUCGAAUCUUAUGCAUACAGGUUUAGUUUGGUGUGAAGAAAAAAAAAUAUAUCAAGCUGAAAUUUUCAAUCAUGUCAAACUGGAGCCAUGCACACCCCUCUUUUCAAAUAUUUACCUUCUCCAUUGUACUCCAAACUUCCAUAAAUUUAACAGGCAUCCAUGAACCAUGCCAAAAAUUAUAAUGCAGUGCAUCCUAUAUUUUCCCACACCAAUUUUUAGACUACACAAAAAUAAAUUUUUCAGAACAGGAACAUUAAAGGCUCAACAUAAAAUUAUGAACUCAAAAUUCCACCAUCCUCUGAAAUUUUCCUUAAAAAUUAAAUAAAUAAACAACAUUGAUAAUGAAUAAUUAGAUAACAACCAUGGGAAAUUUCCCCACAAUGCAAUGUCUUAGCAUGACCCAAAAUCUUACUCACUUGUAAAAUCAAAACAGCUAAACAUUAGCUGCAAUAUCUACGUCAAAAGACUACAAACCAAAUUGCAUAUGUAACAAUAAAAAUAAACUGCCAUGAACAUUUCAUCGUCGCCCAAUAUUGCAAUCUUAUGACUUUAUAUACCAUUGACACAAUAAUAGAAAACAUUUCUUUCUCACAUCAAUUAAUCAAUCACCCAGACCUUCACGUUUCACAUAAUAAUCAUUAAUCAGGCAAGAAAUUGCCCAUGUGACCUCAAAAACUGCGAACCAUAAGUUUCAGCUACACAAACGCAAAAGGCAAUUCCCUGCACCUCCCCUAACAACGUUAAACAGGAAGACACAAAAUAAUUCUAGGCCUGAAACUGGAUUUAGAAAUCCAACACACGAUGUACAUAAAUAUAUAAACUAAUUAAUCAUACAUGAUUAACAUGCCACCUAGAACUCUACAACUUAGGUUUAGGGUCCCAAAUACUCAUCCAAACAUUAAAAUGCAAAGAAAUAAACAUAUGCUUCAAAUUUUAUAGUAUCAAUUAAAAACAUUAGGCGGCGAAAAAGGAAUAAAGAUCCAGAUGAAUAAAUAAAUGAGUAACGAAC
rnacentral:misc_RNA from 1 species